rnacentral:rRNA from 1 species
GAUGAACGCUGGCGGCGUGCCUAAUACAUGCAAGUCGAGCGAAUGGAUUGAGAGCUUGCUCUUAUGAAGUUAGCGGCGGACGGGUGAGUAACACGUGGGUAACCUGCCCAUAAGACUGGGAUAACUCCGGGAAACCGGGGCUAACACCGGAUAACAUUUUGAACCGCAUGGUUCGAAAUUGAAAGGCGGCUUCGGCUGUCACUUAUGGAUGGACCCGCGUCGCAGUAGCUAGUUGGUGGGGUAACGGCGCACCAAGGCAACGAUGCGUAGCCGACCUGAGAGGGUGAUCGGCCACACUGGGACUGAGACACGGCCCAGACUCCUACGGGAGGCAGCAGUAGGGAAUCUUCCGCAAUGGGCGAAAGUCUGACGGAGCAACGCCGCGUGAGUGAUGAAGGCUUUCGGGUCGUAAAACUCUGUUGUUAGGGAAGAACAAGUGCUAGUUGAAUAAGCUGGCACCUUGACGGUACCUAACCAGAAAGCCACGGCUAACUACGUGCCAGCCGCCGCAGUAA